rnacentral:ribozyme from 13 species
GAAGAAGAAGAAGAAGAGAGAGGAGAGAGGGAGUAUUUUGACAUCUUUUAUGAUUGUCUUCUUCUUUUCCCAUCCCUGUUUCCCUCUCUUCCUCUUUCCUUUCUCUUUUUCCCU